CACCGCCCGUCACACCAUGGGAGCUUGUUGCACCAGAAGCAGGUAGCUUAACCGCAAGGGGGGCGCUUGCCACGGUGUGGCCGAUGACUGGGGUG
rnacentral:rRNA from 1 species